UACGGGGGGUGCGAGCGUUGUCCGGAAUCACUGGGCGUAAAGGGCGCGUAGGUGGUUUGAUAAGGGUGUGGUGAAAGUCCGGGGCUCAACCCCGGAUCUGCCGUGCCGACUGUCAAACUCGAGGACUGUAGAGGCAGACGGAAUUCCGGGUGUAGCGGUGGAAUGCGUAGAUAUCGGGAGGAACACCUGUGGCGAAGGCGGCCCCCUGGUUGGAUACUGACGCUGAUACGCGAAAGCGUGGGGAGCAAACAGGG
rnacentral:rRNA from 1 species